rnacentral:sRNA from 2 species
GACCUGUUUAUGUUAGGCAGUCAUUUUAGUAAAGCAGUGAUUAGUAUAAGAGUUAUCUAAGAUAAUUCUUAUUAAAUAAUUCUCCUUCUUUAGUGCUCCCCAUACGUAUUGCUGACGAAAAAUCAUAGAUUGCCAAUUUUUGGCACUUAAAACACUAUUUUAGGAAAUUAUUAUGUCUAACAAAAUGACUGGUACCGUUAAAUUCUUCAACGCCGAGAAAGGUUUUGGUUUCAUCUCCCCGGCUGACGGCAGCAAAGACGUGUUCGUACACUUCUCUGCAAUCCAGUCCACCAGCUUCAAAACUCUGGACGAAGGUCAGCGCGUUGAGUUCACCAUCGAGCAAGGCCAGAAAGGCCCGGCUGCUGCCAACGUAGUUGGUCUGUAAUUCAAGCAAGGAAGCCUUCACGCUAGCUAACGCCUGCUGAGAAGACCUUCUGCAAGAAUUAAAAAACCCGCCUAGGCGGGUUUUUUGUU